rfam:Gossypium hirsutum cultivar TM-1 chromosome 26, whole genome shotgun sequence
UGUUAUAAAUUUCAUCCAUUUUACUUUUGAAAAACAAGUGAGGCUGACAGAAACAUGUACUUCAUGGUGAUGUAUGAGGAUUGGUUUUUAACAGUAGAAAUGAAUGGAAUUUAUAACA